GACGAACGCUGGCGGCGUGCUUAACACAUGCAAGUCGAACGGAAAGGCCCUGCUUUUGUGGGGUGCUCGAGUGGCGAACGGGUGAGUAACACGUGAGUAACCUGCCCUUGACUUUGGGAUAACUUCAGGAAACUGGGGCUAAUACCGGAUAGGAGCUCCUGCUGCAUGGUGGGGGUUGGAAAGUUUCGGCGGUUGGGGAUGGACUCGCGGCUUAUCAGCUUGUUGGUGGGGUAGUGGCUUACCAAGGCUUUGACGGGUAGCCGGCCUGAGAGGGUGACCGGCCACAUUGGGACUGAGAUACGGCCCAUACUCCUACGGGAGGCAGCAGUGGGGAAUAUUGCACAGUGGGCGGAAGCCUGAUGCAUCAACGCCGCGUGCGGGAUGACGGCCUUCGGGUUGUAAACCGCUUUCCCCUGUGACGAAGCGUGAGUCGACGUAAUGUGUAAAGAAGCACCGGCUAACUACAUGCCAGCCAUCGCGGUGAUACGUAAGGUGCGAGCGUUAGUCCGGAUUUAUUGGGCGUAAAGGGCUCCUAGGUGGUUGAUCGCGUCGGAAAGUAAUCUUGGGGCUUAACCCUGAGCGUGCUUUCGAUACGGGUUGACUUGAGGAAGGUAGGGGAGAAUGGAAUUCCUGGUGGAGCGGUGGAAUGCGCAGAUAUCAGGAGGAACACCAGUGGCGAAGGCGGUUCUCUGGGCCUUUCCUGACGCUGAGGAGCGAAAGCGUGGGGAGCGAACAGGCUUAGAUACCCUGGUAGUCCACGCUGUAAACGGUGGGUACUAGGUGUGGGGUCCAUUCCACGGGUUCCGUGCCGUAGCUAACGCUUUAAGUACCCCGCCUGGGGAGUACGGCCGCAAGGCUAAAGCUCAAAGGAAUUGACGGGGCCCCGCACAAGCGGCGGAGCAUGCGGAUUAAUUCGAUGCAACGCGUAGAACCUUACCUGGGUUUGACAUGGAUCGGGAGUGCUCAGAGAUGGGUGUGCCUCUUUUGGGGUCGGUUCACAGGUGGUGCAUGGCUGUCGUCAGCUCGUGUCGUGAGAUGUUGGGUUAAGUCCCGCAACGAGCGCAACCCUUGUUCCCUGUGGCCCAGACCCGCUUCUCGUGGGGGGUCACGGUAGACCGCCCGGGGUCGACUUGGCUGAAGAUGGGGAGGCGUCAAAGUCGUCAUGCCCUCUAGUUCAGGCGUUUCACCCAUGCUCCUAUGGGGGGAUACAGAGACGCCCCCAGCCUCUGAGGGUGAGCGAAUUUCGGAAAAGCCGGUCUCAGUUCGGACUGGGGUGUGCAACUGGACCUCAUGAAGUCGGAGUAGUUGGUAGUCGCAGAUCAGCAACUCUGCGGUGAAGCGUUAAAAGGGGCU
rnacentral:rRNA from 1 species